AAUCAACGCUGGCGGCGUGCCUAACACAUGCAAGUCGAACGCGAAAGGGGCUUCGGUCCUGAGUAGAGUGGCGAACGGGUGAGUAACACGUGGGUGAUCUACCUUCGAGUGGGGGAUAACGUCCCGAAAGGGCCGCUAUUACCGCAUGAGGUCUUGGGUUUAAAGACCUGAAAACAAAACCCGGGACCCCCAAGGCCUGGCCCUGGGAGAGGAGCCCGCGUCCGUUUAGCCAGUUGGCGGGGUAAAGGCCCACCAAGGCGACGAUCCGUAGCUGGUCUGAGAGGAUGAUCAGCCACACUGGAACUGAGACACGGUCCAGACUCCUACGGGAGGCAGCAGUGGGGAAUAUUGGACAAUGGGCGCAAGCCUGAUCCAGCCAUACCGCGUGGGUGAAGAAGGCCUUCGGGUUGUAAAGCCCUUUUGUUGGGAAAGAAAUCCAGCUGGUUAAUACCCGGUUGGGAUGACGGUACCCAAAGAAUAAGCACCGGCUAACUUCGUGCCAGCCGCCGCAGUAA
rnacentral:rRNA from 1 species